UACAUUUUGAAGCAAGUAACAGCAGAUUUAUUGUUAAAAAACAGUUUAAAUUUUGCUCCAUAUCAUUAAACAUCUUCAGAUCAUAUUUGGUAGUCUUUUUUGUUCUUCGGGGAAAGAAUUCCCCCAAAACCUUUGCAAAACAAAAUUUUCCGCAAUCUGUCAACCAUGGUCCGUUACAUAAUGGCCGCACGUGGAGUAGCCAAUCAGAAUGAUGGAUUUGUAAUGGUCUUGGUUGAGUGUAUACUAAUAAUGUAUGAUCCGUACUGGACCUCAGGGAAGAACAAUCUAUUAUAACUGGAAUAAUUAUCCUGUAUUAAUAAAGUUACUUUAGUUUAAUUAACAAAACACAAAAACAGAUAUAUGAAAUAAAUUAGACACUAUUUAUUAUGCGUUUUAAUACUAUAAAAUUUAUGUACGAAUCGACCUUUGUAAAGCUUCACCUAUUUGCAAGCAUUCGGUUUAAAGGGUAUAUUUUUUAUGCAGCACAUUUUUUCACCCAACAAGAGCCAAGAGGACUGUCUUUCAUAUGCUUCACACAAUUUUAGUUUAGUCUUUACUUAAGCGUAUACUGAAAUAGAUAUAUUAUACUUUGUUAGCAAUAGCAAAAUUACUUUAAGCCAAGCAAUAAUACCAUACCACUUUUCGCACCACAAAUACGCUGAGUUUGUAUUUUACAAGGGCGACCCGGGCUCAGCCAUCUUCACUUUUUUCUCUUUUCGUGUUCUGCGAUCUGCGUGAUUUCCCUCGCGGGCCGCGUGGUGUCUUUCGCGGCCUUCACGUUCGCGGUGGUGGUUCCCAUUCUCCAACGCAGGUGUCGCUCGACUUCGCGUUUCACCGUGAUGUCGUCGCCGACUGUCGUUAAAUCCUAAGGAAGAAAAAGGAUGAAUAGUUCAGUAGAACUGAUCGAGCUAUCCUGUUUAAAUACUGUUGUUAUUUAACUUAGGCCAAAAAAAAAUAUGUGGGUUUCCGGUUUCUUCUUAUAAAAACUUAGGUAGGGUAGGUCGGUUUUAACUUUUUUUUUUAAACUUUUUUUUUAUUUUUCCGAAUAAGCGGACGCCAUUUUGUUUAGUCAGUGCUUCCACAUCCAAAGAUAAAUUUCCCUAAUAUUGCCUCAAAUUUCAAUUUUCCACAAACUUUUUCCUCUAAGUGGAAACACUUACAAGCAUGAUCCAAUAAAAAAGUUUAGGGUCGGGAUUUCGACGUCCAAAAGCUAGGUAGGGUCGGGAAACCGGAAACCCACAUAUUUUUUUUUUGG